rnacentral:rRNA from 1 species
GACGAACGCUGGCGGCGUGCCUAACACAUGCAAGUCGUACGGGACGAGAGGGGCAACUCUUUCGUUCAGUGGCAGACGGGUGCGUAACACGUGAGGAACUUGUCCAACGGUGGGGGAUAGCCGGCCCAACGGCCGGGGUAAUACCGCGUACGCUCGUUUGGAGGCAUCUCCGAGCGAGGAAAGCAGCCGCAAGGUUGCGCCGAUGGAGAGUCUCGCGGCCUAUCAGCUAGUUGGCGGGGUCACGGCCCACCAAGGCAACGACGGGUAGCUGGUCUGAGAGGAUGAUCAGCCACAUUGGGACUGAGACACGGCCCAGACUCCUACGGGAGGCAGCAGUGGGGAAUAUUGCGCAAUGGCCGCAAGGCUGACGCAGCGACG